rnacentral:lncRNA from 1 species
GCUGAGGAGAUCCUGUUGUCCACCUGUGGCUUCCACAUGUGCACGCGCACAUUCAGACUUCACUUGGGACAAAAAAGGAAAGUAGUUAUUAGGCGGAUGUACCAGAGCUCUGCCGCCGAAGGGUUUGUGUUCAGUUACAUCUUUAGAAAAAAUCACUGGUGCUGGGCAGUGGUGGCGCACGCCUUUAACCCCAGCACUUGGGAGGCAGAGGCAAGCGAAUUUCUGAGUUCGAAGCCAGCCUGGUAUACAGAGUGAGACAGCCAGAGCUACACAGAGAAACCCUGUCUUGAAAAAAAAAAAAAAAAAGAAAAGAAAAAAGAAAGAACGAAAAGUCACUGGCUUCAAUGUGAGGAGUUGGUAGAAAGGAGGACAGCCUUGAAGGCCACAAUCACUUACCAGGUAAGAGUUGACAGAAGAGUUUAGACCUUUGUCUUAAACUGUUGGAAACAGAGCACCACUUAGUACUCAUUGAUUGAGAACAUGUAGCACAUCCCACCAGACAGCCGCACAGAUGGGACUGUGGUAGACAUUGUACUGUUCUGUAAUCUGUGACACCAGCUGCUUCUAGGUGAUGGUGAUGGGACCCUAUUGGCAUGUUUUUUUUUUUUGUAAAAUUAAUUCUUUUUGGGAAAUAUACCCCCAGAGAUACCAUAGUAAAGCAUUCUGGUAAAUCCUUGGAGAGAAAGCCUAGACACAUGACAUGGGGUAGGGGAAGGAGGGAGACAGACGUAGACAGAAGUCAGCCACCAUGUCCAUGAGCUCAUCAGGACAGCACUUCGGGAGCAAGGGAAAUGACGGAGCUGUGAGCACUAUCUGCUGAGUGCUCACCUGGAUGCAGCAUAAGUAGUUCUUUAUUCCUGUCGAGAGCUCGGUCGGUCUCUCGUGAGAUGUGUGACAACAUACUUAAAGUUUUCUUCACUGCCUUAUAGUCAUUAAAGCUGUCAGUGAAGCACAAACUCUACCACAGUCUACUUCUGUCCAGUGUGGGCCAGCAUAACACACAGAGUCAUAUAUACCAGAUUGGAGUUUUCCCUCUUAGUCAACUGUUGACAUCAACUAGAAGUCAUAGAUGUCUUCUGAGAGGAGGAGCUGUAGCAUGUGGCAGGUCAUUUGUACACAUUGCUUCUAGCUAUGGUCUAUGUCUACCGGGCAUAUCCAAAUUUGUAAUUCACAGAUCACAAAACUAACUUAUGAUGUGAAGCUUCUUUGUAUCAAGUAAAUUGUUCUAGGGCUCAGUUCUAAACUAGGAGAGUGAUCCUGCAGAUAAGACCUCCUUUAUGAGCUUAGGGUCCCACAGGACCCGCUAGGCUGUUUGCCUCGGCAUAGCUCAGUUCUUUUCUGACCAUUCAGUACGUAGAUAAGAAAGAUACCCAGCAUGUGUCAUGGCCUUUCUCCAGGAUUCAAAGUAGCCAGGGGAGAAUGAUGGGGUAAGGAGCUCAUCCUUUAUGUUAGAGGGAGGAGCCUGGCAGGCCUGCAACUGUGACCUGGGAAAACGAGGCUCAAGUCACAAGACAACCCUGGGGUUUGCUUUGUUCUAUUCUGCUUUUAUGUCCAGCAUACAUAUCUAAGAUACAUAAACUCCUGCUCUUGAAGUCCUAUUAGCUUGGCAUCAUUAGCAUGAUGGUCAGGUUAAUGUCCUAUGAAACUACGAGACCAAAUACUGGUAAACUUGGCCACAGCUAGAUGGAUGAGGGUUAUUUAUCACUGAGGCAGUUCUUUUCAUGAAAAUGGAAACAGCCUGGUAUAGCUGUCUCCUGAGAGGCUCUGCCAGCACCUGACUAAUACAGGUGCAGAUGCUCACAGCCAACCAUUGGACUGACCCUGGAGACCCCAAUAGAAGAGUUAAGUGAAGGAAUGAAGGAUCUGAAGGGGAUUGCAACCCCAUAGGAAGAACAAUAUCAACUAACCAAACUCCCCAGAGCUCCCAGGGAAUAGACCACCAACCAAAGAGUACACAUGAAGGGAUCCAUGACUCCAACUAUAUAUGUAGCAGAGGAUUGCCUUAUGUGGCAUUUAUGGAAGGAGAGGCACUUGGUCCUGUGGAGGCUCGAUGCCCCAGCAUAGGGGGAUGGUAAAGGGGUGAAGCAGGAGUGGGUAGCUGGGUGGAGGAGCACCUUCAUAGAGGCAAAGGAGAGGGGGAAGGGAUGGGGACAACAUUUGAAAUGUAAAUAAAUAAAAUAACCAAUUU